UGGGGAAUUUUGGACAAUGGGCGCAAGCCUGAUCCAGCAAUGCCGCGUGCAGGAUGAAGGCCUUCGGGUUGUAAACUGCUUUUGUACGGAACGAAAAGGCUCUGGUUAAUACCUGGAGCAUAUGGCGGUACCGUAAGAAUAAGCACCGGCUAACUACGUGCCAGCAGCCGCGGUAAUACGUAGGGUGCGAGCGUUAAUCGGAAUUACUGGGCGUAAAGCGUGCGCAGGCGGUUUUGUAAGACAGAGGUGAAAUCCCCGGGCUCAACCUGGGAACUGCCUUUGUGACUGCAAGGCUGGAGUGCGGCAGAGGGGGGAUGGAAUUCCGCGUGUAGGCAGUGAAAUGCGUGAUAUGCGGAGGAACACCGAUGGCGAAGGCAAUCCCCUGGG
rnacentral:rRNA from 1 species